AGAGUUUGAUCCUGGCUCAGAACGAACGCUGGCGGCGUGCCUAACACAUGCAAGUCGAGCGAGAAAGUUCCCGCAAGGGGAUGAGUACAGCGGCGAACGGGUGAGUAACACGUGGGCAACCUACCCUUCAGUCAGGAAUAACCCCGCGAAAGCGGGGCUAAUACCAGAUGACGUCCCUCGGAGGCAUCUUCGGGGGACCAAAGGGGGCGAGCGCAAGCAGCUCCCGCUGAUCGAUGGGCCUGCGGCUGAUUAGCUAGUUGGUGGGGUAACGGCCUACCAAGGCGACGAUCAGUAGCCGGCCUGAGAGGGUGACCGGCCACACUGGGACUGAGACACGGCCCAGACUCCUACGGGAGGCAGCAGUGGGGAAUAUUGCGCAAUGGGCGAAAGCCUGACGCAGCGACGCCGCGUGGGUGAUGAAGGCCUUCGGGUCGUAAAACCCUGUCGGGUGGAACGAAUCUCCUCCCUUCCAAUACAGGGGAGGAUUGACGGUACCACCGAAGGAAGCCCCGGCUAACUACGUGCCAGCAGCCGCGGUAAUACGUAGGGGGCAAGCGUUGUCCGGAUUUAUUGGGCGUAAAGAGCGUGUAGGCGGUUAGGUAGGUCAGUUGUGAAAACUGGAGGCUCAACCUUCAGACGUCGACUGAAACCCCCUGGCUAGAGUCCGGAAGAGGAGAGUGGAAUUCCUGGUGUAGCGGUGAAAUGCGCAGAUAUCAGGAAGAACACCGAUGGCGAAGGCAGCUCUCUGGGACGGUACUGACGCUGAGACGCGAAAGCGUGGGGAGCGAACAGGAUUAGAUACCCUGGUAGUCCACGCC
rnacentral:rRNA from 1 species